rnacentral:tRNA from 1 species
GCGGGAAUGGCGGAAUUGGCAGACGCACUAGACUUAGGCUCAAGAUAUUGAGGGUUCGACUCCCUUUUCCCGUAC